CGUACAUGACUCCGUGCGUUGGGGCUCCUACCAGACGCAAAGUGCGGAGAAAGUCAAACGUUUGACGUGCCACAAUAUCCUGUUGCGUAGCGAUCGCUUCGGCUCAUCUUCCUCGACAUCUCCCAUGUCGAGUUCAUCGGAUUCAUCCACCUUCAGCAAAGGCAAUUCCCCGAUCACCCUAGUCGCAACGACAGGCGUAAUUGCAGGGGCUGCGGUACUGAUUGUGGUCAUCAUCUUCAUGGUCAACAGAUGCCUUCGGAGCGCCAAACUGCGUGCGGUUUCUGCAGAGGAGCAAUUAGCCGAGGUCGCGACUCCGAGUUGUCCUCGGUGAUUCAUUCAAUGGAGAUUUAGAUCUUGUACGAGUUCCUCUGG